GGAUACGGCCAUACUGCGCAGAAAGCACCGCUUCCCAUCCGAACAGCGAAGUUAAGCUGCGCGAGGCGGUGUUAGUACUGGGGUGGGCGACCACCCGGGAAUCCACCGUGCCGUAUCCU
rnacentral:rRNA from 1 species